AGCGGCGGACGGGUUAGUAACGCGUGGGAACGUACCCUUUUCUACGGAAUAGCCUCGGGAAACUGAGAGUAAUACCGUAUAAGCCCUUCGGGGGAAAGAUUUAUCGGGAAAGGAUCGGCCCGCGUUAGAUUAGAUAGUUGGUGGGGUAAUGGCCUACCAAGUCUACGAUCUAUAGCUGGUUUUAGAGGAUGAUCAGCAACACUGGGACUGAGACACGGCCCAGACUCCUACGGGAGGCAGCAGUGGGGAAUCUUAGACAAUGGGCGCAAGCCUGAUCUAGCCAUGCCGCGUGUGUGAUGAAGGCCUUAGGGUCGUAAAGCACUUUCGCCAGGGAUGAUAAUGACAGUACCUGGUAAAGAAACCCCGGCUAACUCCGUGCCAGCAGCCGCGGUAAUACGGAGGGGGUUAGCGUUGUUCGGAACUACUGGGCGUAAAGCGUACGUAGGCGGAUCAGAAAGUAGGGGGUGAAAUCCCGAGGCUCAACCUCGGAACUGCCUCCUAAACUCCUGGUCUUGAGUUCGAGAGAGGUGAGUGGAAUUCCAAGUGUAGAGGUGAAAUUCGUAGAUAUUUGGAGGAACACCAGUGGCGAACGCGGCUCACUGGCUCGAUACUGACGCUGAGGUACGAAAGUGUGGGGAGCAAACAGGAUUAGAUACCCUGGUAGUCAACACGA
rnacentral:rRNA from 1 species